rnacentral:tRNA from 1 species
UCUCUGGUAGCACAUCGGCUAAUGCACGCUGUUAUUACAUUUGUCAGCAUGAAAUCGGGUUCGAUUCCCAGCUAGAGAG